AGAGUUUGAUCCUGGCUCAGGAUGAACGCUGGCGGCGUGCCUAAUACAUGCAAGUCGAGCGAAUGGAUUAAGAGCUUGCUCUUAUGAAGUUAGCGGCGGACGGGUGAGUAACACGUGGGUAACCUGCCCAUAAGACUGGGAUAACUCCGGGAAACCGGGGCUAAUACCGGAUAACAUUUUGAACCGCAUGGUUCGAAAUUGAAAGGCGGCUUCGGCUGUCACUUAUGGAUGGACCCGCGUCGCAUUAGCUAGUUGGUGAGGUAACGGCUCACCAAGGCAACGAUGCGUAGCCGACCUGAGAGGGUGAUCGGCCACACUGGGACUGAGACACGGCCCAGACUCCUACGGGAGGCAGCAGUAGGGAAUCUUCCGCAAUGGACGAAAGUCUGACGGAGCAACGCCGCGUGAGUGAUGAAGGCUUUCGGGUCGUAAAACUCUGUUGUUAGGGAAGAACAAGUGCUAGUUGAAUAAGCUGGCACCUUGACGGUACCUAACCAGAAAGCCACGACUAACUACGUGCCAGCAGCCGCGGUAAU
rnacentral:rRNA from 1 species